rnacentral:rRNA from 1 species
ACGGCUCAGUAACACGUAGUCAACCUAACUCGUGGAUGUGGAUAACCUCGGGAAACUGAGAAUAAACCACGAUAGAUCAUAGUGCCUGGAAUGGCUUAUGGUCCAAACAGUUUACUGCCAUGGGAUGGGACUGCGGCCUAUCAGCUUGUUGGUGAGGUAAUGGCCCACCAAGGCGAUUACAGGUACGGGCUCUGAGAGGAGAAGCCCGGAGAUGGGUACUGAGACACGGACCCAGGCCCUAUGGGGCGCAGCAGGCGAGAAACCUUAGCAAUGUGCGAAAGCACGACUGGGUCAGUCCGAGUGAUUCCUGAUAAAGGAGUCUUUUGCUUGUCCUAAAAGCACAGGUGAAUAAGGGGUGGGCAAGUCUGGUGUCAGCCGCCGCGGUAAUACCAGCACCUCGAGUGGUCAGGACGUUUAUUGGGCCUAAAGCAUCCGUAGCCGGCUUUGCAAGUCUUCGGUUAAAUCCACCUGCUCAACAGAUGGGCCGCUGGAGAUACUACAGAGCUAGGGAGUGGGAGAGGCAGACGGUAUUCAGUGGGUAGGGGUAAAAUCCUCUGAUCCAUUGAGGACCACCAGUGGCGAAGGCGGUCUGCCAGAACACGUUCGACGGUGAGGGAUGAAAGCUGGGGGAGCAAACCGGAUUAGAUACCCGGGUAGUCCCAGCUGUAAACGAUGCAAACUCGGUGAUGCAUUGGCUUAUGGCCAAUGCAGUGCCGCAGGGAAGCCGUUAAGUUUGCCGCCUGGGAAGUACGGACGCAAGUCUGAAACUUAAAGGAAUUGGCGGGGGAGCAC